rnacentral:lncRNA from 1 species
GCUAGAGGUUCUUUUCUAGUCUUACUCAAUGGUUUCUGAUAUGCCGUUAAGAGCCUGCAAACGAUAAUUUGGCCUUUUAACGUUUACAGUGUUAAGGACUUUAAGGUAAAAGAGGUUGUCUGGCAAUUGAGUUUUCCUGAUCCAGUGAACCAGACAAUGGAAAUCAUUGGGGAUUAACAGCAGGGCUAUGUAAUGAUUCUUGAUAU